rnacentral:rRNA from 1 species
UGGGGAAUUUUGGACAAUGGGCGCAAGCCUGAUCCAGCCAUGCCGCGUGCGGGAAGAAGGCCUUCGGGUUGUAAACCGCUUUUGUCAGGGAAGAAACGCUCUGGGCUAAUACCCUGGGGUAAUGACGGUACCUGAAGAAUAAGCACCGGCUAACUACGUGCCAGCAGCCGCGGUAAUACGUAGGGUGCAAGUGUUAAUCGGAAUUACUGGGCGUAAAGCGUGCGCAGGCGGUUAUGCAAGACAGAUGUGAAAUCCCCGGGCUCAACCUGGGAACUGCAUUUGUGACUGUAUAGCUAGAGUACGGUAGAGGGGGAUGGAAUUCCGCGUGUAGCAGUGAAAUGCGUAGAUAUGCGGAGGAACACCGAUGGCGAAGGCAAUCCCCUGGACCUGUACUGACGCUCAUGCACGAAAGCGUGGGGAGCAAACAGGAUUAGAUACCCCCGUAGUCCCUGAGCGGGCUGGCAAGGCGCAU